rnacentral:tRNA from 1 species
GCCUGAGUGGCCCAGUCAGGUAAGCGUCUGACUUCAGCUCAGGUCAUGAUCUCACGGUUCGUGGGUUUGAGCCCCACAUCGGGCU